GUGCACCAGCCCCAAGCAUCCAGUAUCGUGCAUCGAACCUGGACUGGCAACUCGUUUCAUACAUGAUAAUUUUCUUGGAAGUCACUGCUCCUUUCUAAUGAUUAAGUCCUGAGGCUGGGCCUCAGAUUUCCCUGUUCUCCUUCUGCUGGUGAUAAGAACCUCUUUACAUAGCCACAGGGAAGUCCUCUGGUCUUCACACUUAGCUUUAUAGUUGUAAUCAAUCACUCUCAACUCUUCAAAAUCUUCUUCCAAAGCAUUAUUUGAGCUUAGCAACAUCUAUCCAAUUUCACUGGCCUCAUGGCUACUAUUUACCCCUUAUUUCUCAAAUGCUGAUAUACUGCACCAGCUAACCCAUCGUUUCCACUGGGUAUACCUCCCAAAUCUCAAGUUAAAGCUUGUACUGCUCCACCUACCAUGAGUAACACAACCCUUGCGGCCAGCCAGGCAGUGAUGAUUCAGCUCCUAAAUCCCAUCCUAGAAUCCCCUACCCCAGACCAUGCCAAGUAGCUAUAGACAUGGGUCAGGCUCAUUACGGAGGGCUCUAGGAAUCAACACCACCUGUGGAGGGGGAGAAAGAGGGAGGAAGCACCAGGUCACCCUCCACUGACCCUCAGAGAAGUUUUGAAGCUGAGAUGAUGCCUCCAGCUUCAAACUCAUCCUGAGAAGGGGGAAGGACUUUGUACCCUGGCUUCCAUCUGUCAUUGGAUGUAAGCACCCCCAGAAAUGAGUGUAACCUUGAACUGGGUGGGCCUUGGUAACUGAGGUCAGCCUGUGUUGGGGCAGGAGGGGCAUCCCUGACAGCCAAGGGCUCUCGGCCACCAUGCUCCCAGAAGAUAGGGAAUCAGCACUUCAUUCCUAAGGGGAGAUCUGAUGGUGCAUCCAGCGUCCACCACCCCUCCCAGAUACACUACCUGUCUUCAAGUCCUGGCUUCAAACUCUGCUCUCAGGGAAACUGACACGAAAACAAUACAGACCAACCUGGAGGUUUAGUUCACUCUUAAGGGAGGAGAGAUUCCCACAGCCCACUAAACUGGUAUUUAGGAAGAGAAAAGGCAUGCUUCUCUAUGAGACAUGGGGUCUUUCCAGUCUCUGGAAAUAACUAAGUGAAGCCUCAAAGAUUUUCUCUCCUAGUUCUUUUCCAGGAAAGUACUUUAUUUCACCCACACUGGACCUACUAUUCAAAGGGGACUUUCCAGGACUCCAAACAACAUCAGUCUCUGUGAAUGAACCUCUGAGCAUUCAGGAGCUACAUUGCCAAGGCCUGGUGGAAAGCUCUGGGCUAAAUGUGAGAACAGAGCAAGGCCUGGCUGGGUGUUCAGGCCUGGAGAGAGGUCUAGGCUUGCAGCUUAACCACCGGCAGGAGGACAAGUUCAGCCCAGCUGUGCCCAAUAUUUGCCCUUUCCUCCUCUUCCCGCAGCACAUCUUUUCAGAGCACAAUUUAUCUCCAGGCAACCCAAGAGCAUGGGGAGAAAUCUUCACGCUUUCAGCAGCUGGUAGAAACUGGGAGAGGACUGGUUACACUGCAAGUCCAAGCCAGGUGGCCAAAGUCAACAUCAUCAGUGGAAAGUCACAUUGAGACUACAUGAUAAGAAGGCACUUCAUCUCUGUGGUCUGCCUCCCCAACACCCACGACCCUCAGUCUGAUUGUAAGAAACACAUCAAGCAAAGCCCAACUGAGGAACAGUUUACAGAACACCUGACCGGUGCACCUCCAAACUGUCAAGGUUAUCAAAAGCAAGGAAAGUCUGAGAAAUCGUCACAACCAAGGGGAACCUAAAGCAAGGGUCUUAAUGGUCAUCUCUAGAAGAGCCCAGCACAAAGCUGAGCACACAGUGGAUGCCCAAGAGAUUGCACCAAACUUGAAUCAGCAAAGAAGAGCUCCUGGGAGACUCUGUCUCCACAAAGGCCACAGCCACGCUGCUAGGACUCCACUGGGCAGCUUCUUUUAUGAAGUGAUGGUAAAAGUAAAGGGUAUUCGUCUUUAUUU